GCGGGCGUGGCGAAACUGGUAGACGCAAGGGACUUAAAAUCCCUCGCCUUAUAAAGGCUUACGGGUUCGAUCCCCGUCGCCCGCACCA
rnacentral:tRNA from 1 species